GACGAACGCUGGCGGCGUGCUUAACACAUGCAAGUCGAACGGAAAGGCCCUGCUUUUGUGGGGUGCUCGAGUGGCGAACGGGUGAGUAACACGUGAGUAACCUGCCCUUGACUUUGGGAUAACUUCAGGAAACUGGGGCUAAUACCGGAUAGGAGCUCCUGCUGCAUGGUGGGGGUUGGAAAGUUUCGGCGGUUGGGGAUGGACUUGCGGCUUAUCAGCUUGUUGGUGGGGUAGUGGCUUACCAAGGCUUUGACGGGUAGCCGGCCUGAGAGGGUGACCGGCCACAUUGGGACUGAGAUACGGCCCAGACACCUACGGGAGGCAGCAGCGGGGAAUAUUGCACAAUGGGCGGAAGCCUGAUGCAGCAACGCCGCGUGCGGGAUGACGGCCUUCGGGUUGUAAACCGCUUUCGCCUGUGACGAAGCGUGAGUGACGGUAAUGGGUAAAGAAGCACCGGCUAACUACGUG
rnacentral:rRNA from 1 species